rnacentral:rRNA from 1 species
GACGAACGCUGGCGGCGUGCUUAACACAUGCAAGUCGAACGGAAAGGCCCUGCUUUUGUGGGGUGCUCGAGUGGCGAACGGGUGAGUAACACGUGAGUAACCUGCCCUUGACUUUGGGAUAACUUCAGGAAACUGGGGCUAAUACCGGAUAGGAGCUCCUGCUGCAUGGUGGGGGUUGGAAAGUUUCGGCGGUUGGGGAUGGACUCGCGGCUUAUCAGCUUGUUGGUGGGGUAGUGGCUUACCAAGGCUUUGACGGGUAGCCGGCCUGAGAGGGUGACCGGCCACAUUGGGACUGAGAUACGGCCCAGACUCCUACGGGAGGCAGCAGUGGAGAAUAUUGCACGAUGGGCGGAAGCCUGAUGCAGCAACGCCGCGUGCGGGAUGACGGCCUUCGGGUUGUAAACCGCUUUCGCCUGUGACGAAGCGUGAGUGACGGUAAUGGGUAAAGAAGCACCGGCUAACUACGUG